GUUUUCCUUAAUUGCUGCACUAAUUUAUAUUCCUACCAACAGUGUACAAGGGUUUCCUUCUCCAGCAUUUUUUUUUUAGACAGUGCCUUGAUCUGGUGUCUAGGCAGGAGUACAGUGGUGCGACCAUAGCUCACUGCAGCCUCUAACUCCCAGGCUCAAAGGAUCCUCCCACUUCAGCCCCCCAAGUAGCUGGGACUGCAGGCAUGCCCACCACACCCAGAUUUCACAGAGAAGACUCUUCGGUAUUCCACCAUGGGAUGGUAAAGAUCUGGCUGCCAGGAUUCAGUAAGAAAAGGAGGAUUCUGGCUUUCUUAUCCAUCAUGUAAAUGUCCCCUGUUUUGAGGAUGGUUCCCCUGUCAUCUACUGUAUCCCGUAUUCUUAACAUAGCCAAAAUAAACAGCCACACACUUACUGAAAUCAUAUCAUAUGUGCAUUUUUAAAGAAUAAAUAACUUUAUAUUCCAUUUGUAUAACAUUUUAUUGUUUGCGUAUUGCAUAGUGAAAAGAACAG
rnacentral:lncRNA from 1 species